UACUCAAGGGAGAUUUGCACUGUUAGUCCUUUAAGUUUUGAACUUGAGUCAAUUUGAUAUUUUAUCCGUCUCGACGGAGAACUUUACCCUCUGCCUCUGAGAAAAAUCAAAUCCAGAAUUGUUGCCGGUUCUGUUCUAGUAUAGUUGGAUUCUGGAAUUGUAAUGCGACGCUGGAGGAAGAAGCGCAGGAUUUUCAAGAGUAAAGUGAGAAUUAAGGCAAAAAAGAGAGUUUUGAAAGAGGAAAAAAUAACACAGGGAGUGAGUCCGUUAGUAGAGAAGUACUGGCUUCAGAGGUACGAUUUAUUUUGGAGAUAUGAUGAAGGAAUUAAGUUAGACGAAGAAGGCUGGUUUUCCGUUACUCCGGAGGAGAUUGCCGUCGGCCAUGCUCAGCGUUGCACCGGCGCCGGUGUCGUCAUCGAUUGUUUCGCCGGCGUAGGUGGUAAUGCCAUUCAAUUUGCUCGAGUGUGUGAUCAUGUAGUUGCCAUUGACAUUGACCCCGAAAAAGUUGCCCUGGCAAUGAACAAUGCCAAGGUAUAUGGUGUUGAAGACCACAUCGAUUUCGUUGUUGGAGACUUUUUUCAGCUGGCACCAUCCCUCAAGGGAGAUGUAUUGUUUCUUUCACCACCAUGGGGAGGUCCAUCAUACAAGAUGACUAAGAAAUUUACUCUGGACUCACUGAAGCCAAAAGAUGGGCACUCCAUGUUUCAAGUUGCACAAAAAAUAACACCUCAUAUAAUCAUGUACUUACCCAGAAAUGUAGACUUACUGGAAGUGGAGCAACUUUCUUGGUUGUCUUCACCGCCUUUGGAUAUUGAGAUAGAGGGAAAUACAGUCAGAGGCCAUUUGAAGGCAAUAACUGUCUACUUUGGUGAUGCUGCCAUAACACAGCUUUGUCUCCCUCAAACACUAUCAGGUUAAAGUUGCACCAUUUGUUCAUUAUGGUUGAUGGUAUCCACUGAAAAUGUACAAGGAAUUGCAAGCAUGGGAAGACAAGGUAAGGAACUUAACAGCUAGGUGGUCAGAGCUUCACAUGGCAGUGCAAUUCCACGGAGUAGUGAAGCAGUACUGAUGGACUUAUCAUUAGCUAGCUGUAGAACUGAUCUCUCAUCUACCCAUUUGUCUUCUUGUCAAAGGCAAAACUUAAUGUCCUGGACCAAGUCUUGAUGGCGACCUGGAGUCUCACUGCUUUAUAUGGUGGUCCUAGGCAACACUGAGACAAAGCAAGUGGUUGACAGCAAAAAUUACCACUGCUACUAAUUUCUUGUUUAUAAACUUAAAUGUAGAUCUACUAGAUGAAACUGUGGAGUUAAUUACCUUCAUCGACCCCCUUCUUUGGCCAUUACUUCAUAAUCACUGCCAUCAAACUUCCUUUUAUUAGUGCAUUUAAGGUGAUUGUAUCCCUCACAUCAAAGAACUAAUUACGGUCUGGUUUAUAUUGAUACUUAUUUUGAUGCCCGGACCCACAAGUCUUGAUAUUCUUUUUUCUUUAUUUUAUUUUUAUAAAAUCACU